rnacentral:lncRNA from 1 species
GCCUGGGGACCAGCGCGCAGGCUCCUGCAGGGGUCCCAGCAAGAGAUGGCGCCCUGUGGCGGGGCGGCAGCGGGCAGGGAGGUUUAGCAGGGCCAGCCCCUGUCUGUCUGGGCCUGCCCAGCUGGGAGCUUGAUCAGCCUCUGGGGAAGGUGGAGGAACACAGCCUCGUCUACCCGUGUUAACGAUGCCCACCAGGACUGGGGUGUGGCUCAGGGGCCGAGCGCUUGCCAGGACAGGCCCCUGGCUCCGUCCCCCGCACUGCAAAACAGGAGCCUACUCGCCGUCCCCGUAAUGCCCGGGUGUCACUUAGAGCAAGCUCUUUGCCCCUUCCCCUGGGACUGCAGCAGUCUAUGUCCCAGGAGUCACCAAGAGCUGCAGGGACACUCGUCUUGCUUUCAGGCUGGUUAAAGAGGCAUGUGGGCCGCAGCCUGUGGGACCCAUUUCUGAGGCCACUUAGGGGAUUAUCUUGAGAGAAAAUCGUCCCAAGAGUGAUCUGUGGGCCUGCUGGGGUGGCCGAUCCCAGCUCCUUUCUGGGCCAGGAAUGUCUGGGGCUUGUUCCUCCUGAAGCCAGCCAAACAGGCGGCAAGGACAUUCUUGGCCCUUCCUGCUCCUGGGCACCGCCCUGGGCCCCAGGAGCUGAGGUUGGGGGGAGCGACCACAGCCCACAGGCAGCAAUGAAGGGACACGUCUCCCCCCGACCCCUCCCCAGAGCAUCCCGGUGGCUACAGACUGUAAGCUGUGGCCUGGCAUGUGGCCCACACCUGCAGUCACAGUUACCCAGGAGGCUGAGGCAGGAGCACUCGAGUUCAAGGCCAGCCUCAGCACAGAGCAAGGCUGCCAAAAAUAAGAAGGCCGGGGUGUGGCUCAGCGUUGGAGCACUGGCUUAGCACGAGCGGGGGGCCCUGAGUUCCAUCCCCAGGACUGCAAAAGUCAAAGACAACAAACAAAACACGCCCCCCGCCCCAUAAGACCUUCAGCUCUAGGUCAUAUUGCUCAGAGUCAAAUUCUGGCUUUGAUAUUUAUUAGCUGUGUGACCUUGAGCAGGUGACUUAAUGUUUCUGAUCCCCUGUUCCUCAGUCCAUUAAAAAGGGGAAAAUAAUAGCACCCAACUAGAGGGUUCUUCUGGGAAUCUAGUGGGUCGUCUCUACCGAGUGAUCAGCCAUUGCUUCUAUCUCUCGGGAAAGAGGAGCAUAACACAGCUGUCCCUUCUGUGCCUGUGUGUGUCAGCAUCUGCUGAAUGAUUCAGUCACACUUUUGGUAUCUGGUCAACCUCCUGACAACCCUGCCACCAGGACUGGGGAUGUGGCUCAGGUAUGGGUAGGCUGGCUCCUGUCGUAGGUGAGCCACCAAAACACACAAGUGGGGCCACUGGGUUAGGUCCCAGGCCAGCGGAGGAGGCGGCGGCCUUGGCACAGAGGACAGACUUGAACUUGCCCUGUCUGGUCUUUGUCCUCUCCUCUCUUCUCUCUGCAGUGCUGGGACCCCAGGGGCAUUUGACCACUGAGCCACGUCCCCAGUCCUGUUUUGUAUUUUAUUUAGAGACAGGGUCUCACUGAGUUGCUUAGUGCCUUGCUGUUGCUGAGGCUGACUUUGAACUUGCGAUUCUCCUGCCUCAGCCCCCCUAGCCACUGGGAUUACAGGCGUGUGCCACCAUGCCCGCCCCCCCCCAGGGUCUUGCACAGGCUAGGUACACACUUUACCACUGAACUCCAGCUGGCCCCGAGGCCUGGUCCUUUCUGAACUGGACUGUGGAGGUUGGGAGCUCGGGUGCAUCUUGGGAAGGAGGCUCCCUUUGGUGGCUACAGGCCUCCGUGGCCCCGUGGGUCUCUUCCGAGGUGUGCCAGCUGGGGUCUGGGUUGUUUGCAUCCGGGCUCCUGGGGCUCUCCGGCAGCCCCUGCCCCCUCCCAUCCCUCUCAUUUCUCUUUGGAUCCAAAGAAACAUCCCACCUUCCCCUUCUGCCCUCGGCCCGUCUUUCUCCCUAGCGUGGUGAUGAGGUGACGUCACUGACCACAGUUUUAUUUUCUGGGACCAGGGGAUCUUCUUUCGUGCCCCCCCUGGCCCCUGCUCCUGUCAAGCGUCCCUGCGGCAGCCCAGAAUACUCCCAGCUGUGAGAUGAAGGUUCCAGAGUUUAAAAUUGCAACUGGGUACUAUUUAUACUCCAGCCGGAAGGAGGCUUUUGUGCAGCGAGUGGCUUAUUUUGUUGUGGCAGCGAUGGCUCAGGCCAGAGGCAGGCGCUGGGCUCGGUUCAAACCUCGGUGGGGACAAGUGGGUGGCGGGCAGUCUUCAGGAGUGGGAUGGCCCCAGCCUGCCCAGCAGCCUCUGGUCACACGUCCCCGGCAGGGCCCUGUGGUCAGUGGAGAAAGGGCCCAUGUUCGGGGGAGCCUUCUUGCUCUGUGCCCGCUAAUUAAACGGCUGCA